rnacentral:rRNA from 1 species
UACGUAGGGUGCAAGCGUUGUCCGGAAUUAUUGGGCGUAAAGAGCUUGUAGGCGGUUUGUCGCGUCUGCUGUGAAAUUUCGGGGCUCAACCCCGAACCUGCAGUGGGUACGGGCAGACUAGAGUGUGGUAGGGGAGACUGGAAUUCCUGGUGUAGCGGUGAAAUGCGCAGAUAUCUGGAGGAACACCGGUGGCGAAGGCGACGUCCUGGACCGGCAUUGACGCUGAGGCGCGAAAGCCAGGGGAGCAAAGCGGGG